CCUACGGGAGGCUGCAGUGGGGAAUAUUGCACAAUGGGGGAAACCCUGAUGCAGCGACGCAGCGUGGGGGACGAAAUACCUCGGUAUGUAAAGCCCUUUCAGCAGGGAAGAAGAUGACAGUACCUGACCAAGAAGCCCCGGCGCAAUACGUGCCAGCAGCCGCGGUAAUACGUCGGGGGCAAGCGUUAUCCGGAUUUACCGGGGGUAAAGGGAGCGUAGGUGGCAUGGCAAGCCAGAAGUGAAAACCCGGGGGUUAAGCCCGCAGAUUGCUGUUGGAACUGGCAGGGUGGAGUGCAGGAGGGGCAGGCGGAAUUCGUGGUGUAGCGGUGAAAUGCAUAGAUAUUACGAAGAACACCGAUUGCGAAGGCAGCAUGCUGGACUGUAACUGACGUUGAGGCUCGAAAGCGUGGGGAGCAAACAGGAUUAGAUACCCCAGUAGUC
rnacentral:rRNA from 1 species